rnacentral:rRNA from 1 species
CAGGCUUAACACAUGCAAGUCGAGGGGCAUCAGGAAGAAAGCUUGCUUUCUUUGCUGGCGACCGGCGCACGGGUGAGUAACACGUAUCCAACCUGCCCUUUACUCGGGGAUAGCCUUUCGAAAGAAAGAUUAAUACCCGAUAGCAUAAUGAUUCCGCAUGGUUUCAUUAUUAAAGGAUUCCGGUAAAGGAUGGGGAUGCGUUCCAUUAGGUUGUUGGUGAGGUAACGGCCCACCAAGCCUUCGAUGGAUAGGGGUUCUGAGAGGAAGGUCCCCCACAUUGGAACUGAGACACGGUCCAAACUCCUACGGGAGGCAGCAGUGAGGAAUAUUGGUCAAUGGGCGCUAGCCUGAACCAGCCAAGUAGCGUGAAGGAUGAAGGCUCUAUGGGUCGUAAACUUCUUUUAUAUAAGAAUAAAGUGCGGUAUGUAUACUGUUUUGUAUGUAUUAUAUGAAUAAGGAUCGGCUAACUCCGUGCCAGCAGCCGCGGUAAUACGGAGGAUCCGAGCGUUAUCCGGAUUUAUUGGGUUUAAAGGGAGCGUAGGUGGACUGGUAAGUCAGUUGUGAAAGUUUGCGGCUCAACCGUAAAAUUGCAGUUGAUACUGUCAGUCUUGAGUACAGUAGAGGUGGGCGGAAUUCGUGGUGUAGCGGUGAAAUGCUUAGAUAUCACGAAGAACUCCGAUUGCGAAGGCAGCUCACUGGACUGCAACUGACACUGAUGCUCGAAAGUGUGGGUAUCAAACAGGAUUAGAUACCCUGGUAGUCCACACAGUAAACGAUGAAUACUCGCUGUUUGCGAUAUACAGUAAGCGGCCAAGCGAAAGCAUUAAGUAUUCCACCUGGGGAGUACGCCGGCAACGGUGAAACUCAAAGGAAUUGACGGGGGCCCGCACAAGCGGAGGAACAUGUGGUUUAAUUCGAUGAUACGCGAGGAACCUUACCCGGGCUUAAAUUGCAGUGGAAUGAUGUGGAAACAUGUCAGUGAGCAAUCACCGCUGUGAAGGUGCUGCAUGGUUGUCGUCAGCUCGUGCCGUGAGGUGUCGGCUUAAGUGCCAUAACGAGCGCAACCCUUAUCUUUAGUUACUAACAGGUUAUGCUGAGGACUCUAGAGAGACUGCCGUCGUAAGAUGUGAGGAAGGUGGGGAUGACGUCAAAUCAGCACGGCCCUUACGUCCGGGGCUACACACGUGUUACAAUGGGGGGUACAGAAGGCAGCUAGCGGGUGACCGUAUGCUAAUCCCAAAAUCCUCUCUCAGUUCGGAUCGAAGUCUGCAACCCGACUUCGUGAAGCUGGAUUCGCUAGUAAUCGCGCAUCAGCCACGGCGCGGUGAAUACGUUCCCGGGCCUUGUACACACCGCCCGUCAAGCCAUGGGAGCCGGGGGUACCUGAAGUACGUAACCGCAAGGAUCGUCCUAGGGUAAAACUGGUGACUGGGGCUAA